AGCUGUGCUCCUGGAAGGGGGGAGCUUGGCUCCACCUCUUCUAGACCCCAUUUAAUGGCUGACUGCCACUGAGGGAUGAUCUUUUUCCCUGAAGAUUUGAAGAUUCUUUCUCUGUGGUGUUUAUCGUGAGCCUUCAACACUGCAUCCAGUGAUAAGCAUUCCAGAAACUACGGUCGUUAUAAGGAGAACAAACAGAGCCCUAAAAACCUGUUGGAAUAGCUGACAAGAUCAUGAAAUAAUUAUUGGAGAUCUCUAGAUGAUGGUGAAGAAUUUAGAACUGUAAAUACAAGGAAUCCCAAGCAGUUUCAGGAGUUACUCACACAGAAACUCAGAACAAGUCAGCUGGAAUAACAGAAGAAUUUUUUUCUGUGAUGCCCUCCAGUCGUCCUCUGCUGCAAUCUAAGCUAUCAUGCUGAGGUGCAGAAGACAAAAGACAAAUGAGAGACAGGAUUUUUUUACAUCUACAUGCAAAAGCCACAGCUGCAUCUCUUCUGGUCAGCUUUUCUCAUUGUGAUCUGGAGUGAAAAGGAUCUAAGGUGUGCAGAGCUUAGCCAGGAUCUUUUCGACAUGCAUUUGUAGUUUACAAUCAACUUGGACCUCUGGGGAGGAAUUAAAGCAAAGAAGAAAUUUAAUGAAGAUAAACUAUGAAAGCUUUUAAGACUUUCUUCAACUGAUCCAGCUAUAAUAUCGUGACUAUGUCUGACGUAGUACUCCAGCUGAGUGACCAAUAUUAAAGUCUAAAGGAAAAAAAACAACACUGAUACAUUAUUCAUUAUUCAUGCCAGAGAAAGAGAGAGGCAGUGAUGGAGAAAGCAAGUAAACAGACUGUCAAGGGUAUUUUGAAGAGCCAGUGGGGGCUGAGUGGAGGAAUUCAGAACACCAGCUUUACUAUCAAAGAUAUCUGCUGGAAGAAGGGCAAUGGGCUGAGACCACUUACAGACUGAGAAGCUCUUAACUGUGCUACAGCAGCGGAUAUUCAGAGACCCCUUACAUAAAGAAAUGACCAACAUAUACAUUUCAGAUGAAAGCUUUAUCUUUUUGUGUGUGUGUUCCUAUUCCUUAUAUUUCCUUCAGUUGCACUUUUUUCCUCUCCCCUAACAAGGAGAUGAUAAAUUAAAGCCAUUUUCCAAUAUUCUU